rnacentral:lncRNA from 1 species
UACAGGACUUGAAAAUUAUUUAUAAAAAAUAUUAUUUGAUCUUGGUUGGGUCAAUUAUAAAGUUAAUGUGUUCAUCGAGACAAGUAAAUGUCAAAACAUUAAAAUAAUCUGACUUUAAGAAUUAGAUCGGUUAAUUAAGAACAAACUGAUAUUAAUAAAUCAAAUGUAUGUGAUAGAGGUUUUAAGAAAUAUCUCUGUCCGAUGUCGUCAUGGGU